rnacentral:lncRNA from 1 species
AUACUUACUUGUGGGUAUGCGGGUUACACAUAGGGUGCAUUUGGUUCGGGUUAUCCUGCCAGAAUUAUAGGCAACCCUGUCAGGAUUAUUACGUUUGGUUCAUCCGAUAUGUAAUUUAGUCAGUGAUGUAGCAUUACAAAUGGUGCAGGAUUACACUGAAAAUAUUACCAAGAGUGGAGAGUGUAUAUGUUGAAUUACCAAAAGCGGUUAAUUUUACAUAUUAUAUAAAAUUAUAAGUUUACCCCUCCAACUACCGAAACCCUUUCAAUACGUCAUUUUAAAAAUUUUAAUUUAAAAUUUUGAAUUGUCAACUUUUAAAUUUUAAAUUUUGAAUUUUAAUAUUCAAUUUUCAAAUUUAAAUUUUAAAUUUUAAAUUUUUAAAUUUUAAACUUUAAAUUUUAAUUUUUAAAUUUUAAAUUUUUAAAUUUUUAAAUUUUAAACUUUAAAUUUCAAUUUUUAAAUUUUAAAUUUUUAAAUUUUUAAAUUUAAAUU